rnacentral:misc_RNA from 1 species
AGCAGCCGCGGUAAUUCCAGCUCCAAUAGCGUAUAUUAAAGUUGUUGCAGUUAAAAAGCUCGUAGUUGAAUUUCGGGAUCAAUAUGUUGGUCGUGCCUUGGUACGUACUGGCAUUAUCGAUUCCUACCUUCUGAAGAACCUCGAUGUCAUUAAUUUGGUGUCUUGGGGAAUCAGGACUGUUACUUUGAAAAAUUAGAGUGUUUAAAGCAGGCUCGCGCUUGAAUACAUUAGCAUGGAAUAAUGAAAUAGGACGUUUGAUUCUAUUUUGUUGGUUUCUAGGAUCGACGUAAUGAUUAAUAGGGAUAGUUGGGGGCAUUAGUAUUCAAUUGUCAGAGGUGAAAUUCUUGGAUUUAUUGAAGACUAACUACUGCGAAAGCAUUUGCCAAGGAUGUUUUCAUUAAUCAAGAACGAAAGUUAGGGGAUCGAAGACGAUCAGAUACCGUCGUAGUCUUGACCAUAAACUAUGCCGAUAG